AUGGGAGACGGGAAGGCUGAUGUGGUGGAUGGUGUGGAAAGAAGGUUGAGGAAUCUGAAGCUUUCAGAUGCAGAAAAGAAAAGUAUCAAGAUUGGGAAGAAACACGCUUGUUCCCUUGAGGUGAGGAAGUCUCAGGCAGUGGAUAAGCUCAUGUCUGAAAAAACAGCAAAAGCAUAGUAUUUGGGUAGAGCAUUAAGUGGUGCGUGGCACCCCUUUUCAAGAGUAGAAUUUAAGGGCUUGGGUAGAAACCAAUUCAUGUUUCGGUUUAAUGAUGAUGUGAGCAAGAACAAAGCACUAAGGAAUGGACCUUGGAUGUUUAAUAAACACUUACUGGUGAUGGAAGAUUUUGUGCCAAGCAAAACUAUAGAUGAGUAUGAAUUUAAGAGUCCUAUAUGGAUCAGAGCUUAUGGCAUACCAAUGGGAAUGAUGAGCUCAGAAACAGGGGAAUUGGUGGGACAGAAAAUUGGUGAAUUCUUGGAUGUUGAUUUGGACGAUAAUGGAAAUGCAAUGGGAGUAUUUAUGCGAACCAAGGUAAAUAUGGACAUAACAGUCCCCAUUAUGAGGUUCAUAACCAUAGAAUUAGAUGAAGAACAGGAAGAGGAGCAGGAGCAAAUAUCUGAGGAAAUGAUGGGAGCUGAAGAUAUGGAGAAAAGGAAGACGAAGAAGAAAUUAUCUCCUUUGAAUACGAGCAUCUCCCCGAGUUUUGUUAGAAUUGCGGGAUUAUCGACGAUACAGAAAGGGUUUGCCCAUCUAGAACUAGAAUAG
rnacentral:rRNA from 1 species